AAUGAACGUUGGCGGCGUGGAUUAGGCAUGCAAGUCGCGCGAGAAGUUCCUUCGGGAGACGGACAGCGGCGGAAGGGAGAGGAAUAAGUAGAAAUCUGCCCUCGGGACGGGGAUAGCGGCGGGAAACUGCCGGUAAUACCCGAUAACAUCUUUGGAUCAAAUGGUGUGAUUCCGCCUGAGGAUGAGUCUACUUCCUAUUAGCUAGUUGGUGUGGUAAUGGCUCACCAAGGCAACGAUGGGUAGCGGGUGUGAGAGCACGAUCCGCCUCACUGGGACUGAGACACUGCCCAGACACCUACGGGUGGCUGCAGUCGAGAAUCUUCGGCAAUGGGGGAAACCCUGACCGAGCGACGCCGCGUGCGGGAUGAAGGCCCUCGGGUUGUAAACCGCUGUCGUAAGGGAACAAAUCUAAGAGGGUACUCCCUUUUAGUUGAGUGAUCUUAGGAGGAAGGACGGGCUAAGUUCGUG
rnacentral:rRNA from 1 species